GACGGAGGAUGCAAGCGUUAUCCGGAAUGAUUGGGCGUAAAGCGUCUGUAGGUGGUUUAUGAAGUCUACUGUCAAAUAUUAGAGCUUAACUCUGAAAAGGCAGUAGAAACUCGUAGACUAGAGUACGGUAGGGGCAGAGGGAAUUCCCGGUGUAGCGGUGAAAUGCGGAGAUAUCGGGAAGAACACCAAUGGCGAAAGCACUCUGUUGGGCCGAAACUGACACUGAGAGACGAAAGCUAGGGGAG
rnacentral:rRNA from 1 species